CUGCUGGCUGCCAGCCAUGGGAGGAUCAAGGCAGGCUGUGGGUGGCGGGGUGCUUUCUAGGAAUACCAUAAGUCCAAGGAUUCAACCAUUUGCAGAUGAAAAAAAUAGAUGCCUCUGUACUGAACACAUCCAGACUUGUGUUUCCUUAUCAUUACUCCUUAAGCAAUAUGCUGUAGCAACUAUUGACAAAGCAUUUACACUGCGUUAGGCAUUGUAGAUAAUCUAGCGAUGAUUUCAGUCUAUGGGAGUGGUGGGUAUUAUGGCACAGCAGGUUAAGCCCCGUCAAUUCAACCAAGGAACCAAUGCCUGUAGAACAUGGAGUACCCAGAAUGCUCUGCGAGUAGCUGGGUCACACGGCCUUGCAGCUGAGGACAGAGAACGGAGCAGUCUGUCUGAGGGGCUUGAUGGAGAUUCUGCAAUGGGCAGAAUCUGACUUUUCCUUAAAUCCAGAUUCUUAGUUCGGAAGCUGUUCUGUGUAGGGGAGGACCCCAGCAGAGGAGGGAACUCGGGCCUCUGUGGAAGGACCCAGCUGUUGGCAAUCAGGGCUCUGGGGAGGGCCUCCAGCCUUGGGGCUGACACCCUUAAUAACCCUGUUCUUCAUUACGACUAAUAAACCUGGUCUUUGUCCAGGGCGAUGCACGCUCCUGUCCAAGUCGCUGUAGUUCAGAGACUGCCUGGAACAGCCACAGGACCUAGUCUGAAAUUCCAGCGCAGGUGCUACGCUUUGAAUACCAUUAGUCACCCAAACUCAUACAGAGUCUGACUCCCAGUCACGAGGAAGGGUAUCAUUUAAACAGACCACAAUAUGAAGUGUGUUCCCUGGAGCCGUGUGACGCAAGGGCCUUGCACUUACUUGCUAGCUUACCUCAACGGCAGAGUCUGCUAAGAACCGUGACGUCUUCAGCUCGGAGUCCGUGCUGUCUGAUCAAGGGGGCAUCAUCAAGGCGUACUCCAGGAGUUGGCGGGAUGUGCUUGAAAUCAAUGAUGAGACGUCCACGGGGGAAUUAGCCUGCUCUGUGGAUAUGAGCUUUACGCCUGAGAUGCUGUAUUGGUUGUCAACUGGGAAGCAGUGAACACAAACCUUCCAGGCAACAGGGUGCUUACCCAUCUUCUGAGGUUCUCGUCUCUAGAGAGGCUGGCCAAAUGGGCUCACCGCUGCAGUCCUGACCUCCGCGGACUGCCAGAGAUAAUGUUUGGCAGGCUAUUGGAACAUCAAAGGCAGUUGGGGUGAGUGGGACAGACAGCCGGCGCUGAGAAAAACUCAAGGCUCUCUUCCAUAUACAGGAUGGAUGGAGGCCUUUCCGACCCGAAUGGAGAAAGCACACGAGGUGUUUCAAGCCAUGUUGAAGGACAUUGUGCCACACUUUGCACUCCCACGGUCACUCCAGAGUGACAAUGGACCUUCAUUUAUAUCUAAAAUGACCCAGCAGAACCCAGCAGCUUCUGAGAAUAAUGACGACCAUGCAGGAGCCACUGAGGAUGCCGGUGACUGAAAGAGCCCCAGCUCAUGAAGCAAACUCAUUAGAUGAGAUAGGCAGAGACUUCCAGACCGAGAACAGGCAGGGUCUGCAACCCUAAUCAGCAGGAAGCAGCUACAGAAGAUGGAGACCCGACGCCCAUCAACAUCCCCUUAAGAUUAAGGUCUGGAGUCUCUGAGGGGGGAAUGAAGUGGGCAGGCAUACAGGUUAAAAGUGUUAGAUUUGUGAACUGGAAGACCACGCCUUUGCCACGCCCCUGUGUGACCUCAUGCCCCUACCUGAUGCCUUUGCCACGCCCCUGAGUGGCCUCAUUCCCCUACCUGGCCACACCUGGGUGCCCACCAGCCAAUCAUGUUAAUUAACCACUCCCCUUUGGAAGUGGGUUAAAAGCCAGGACAUGGUGUGGCCCAGGUGGCUCUUCUUUCCUGGCCUCUUGUCAGGAGGGGGCUUGCUGCAGCCCCGCGCCUCCAGGGCGCAUGGCCUUUGGGCUAAGUGCUCUAGGCUUCCUGGCCCAGAUACAGGCCUAGAUGCUCUUCCAUGUGGCUGGUUCCCGGUGCUCGGGAUGAACCCCUAUUCACCUCUCUCUCCUUAAUAAAGCUCUCACUCGCCUAUGCAUCUUUCUCACUAAAUAAAAGCUUAA